UACAGAGGGGGCAAGCGUUGUUCGGAUUCACUGGGCGUAAAGGGUGCGUAGGUGGUGAGGUAAGUCGGAUGUGAAAUCUCCGAGCUCAACUCGGAAAUGGCAUUGGAAACUACCUUGCUCGAGGGUUGGAGGGGGGACUGGAAUGCUUGGUGUAGCAGUGAAAUGCGUAGAUAUCAAGCGGAACACCAGUGGCGAAGGCGAGUCCCUGGACAACUCCUGACACUGAGGCACGAAAGCUAGGGGAGCAAACAGG
rnacentral:rRNA from 1 species